GCGGGCGUGAUGGAAUUGGUAGACAUAUCGGACUUAAAAUCCGAAGGGCCUAGUCCCGUGCGGGUUCGAGUCCCGCCGCCCGCACCA
rnacentral:tRNA from 1 species